rnacentral:rRNA from 1 species
CCUACGGGUGGCAGCAGUGGGGAAUAUUGCACAAUGGGGGAAACCCUGAUGCAGCGACGCCGCGUGAGUGAAGAAGUAUUUCGGUACGUAAAGCUCUAUCAGCAGGGAAGAAAAUGACGGUACCUGACUAAGAAGCCCCGGCUAACUAAGUGCCAGCAGCCGCGGUAAUACGUAGGGGGCAAGCGUUCUCCGGAUUUACUGGGUGUAAAGGGAGCGUAGACGGCAGCGCAAGUCUGGAGUGAAAUCCCAUGGCUUAACCAUGGAACUGCUUUGGAAACUGUGCAGCUAGAGUGCAGGAGAGGUAAGCGGAAUUCCUAGUGUAGCGGUGAAAUGCGUAGAUAUUAGGAGGAACACCAGUGGCGAAGGCGGCUUACUGGACUGUAACUGACGUUGAGGCUCGAAAGCGUGGGGAGCAAACAGGAUUAGAUACCCCAGUAGUC